AGAUGCGGUGUAUGUGUCAAUGAUUCAACAGAGAUGCGGUGUAUGUGUCAAUGAUUCAACAGAGAUGUGGUGUAUGUAUCAUUGAUUCAACAGAAAUGCGGUGUGUGUGUCAAUGAUUCAACAGAGAUAUGGUGUAUGUGUCAAUGAUUCAACAGAAAUGCGGUGUAUGUGUCAAUGAUUCAACAGAAAUGUGGUGUAUGUGUCAAAGAUUCAACAGAAAUGCGGUGUAUGUGUCAAUGAUU
rnacentral:lncRNA from 1 species